ACUCACUCACACACAAUGUGCCAUCCUGACAAGGCUUUUACUUCUGAUAAGCUCCAAUGUGUGUUUAAUGAAUACAAAGCCGCGGUCUGGGUGCCGCCUCGGCCGCGGCCGCUCUCCCGCGCUCCUUUGCCAGAAGAAAAGAUUGAUCUCUGGGCUGGUGAACAUAAUCUCUGUCCCAGUCAGAAAAGGAGAGAGGAAAUUAGCAGAGCGAUUGGUGGAGAAUGAUAUCUGUCAAAAGAAACACUUGGAGAGCACUGAGUUUAGUAAUAGGUGACUGCCGGAAAAAAGGGAACUUUGAAUAUUGUCAAGGCGCACGCGCCCAGCACCCUGCCUCCGGCGAUGCCGCCCCAGCCCCUCUGAUGGCCCUCCUCUCUGCUGCCACUCAUUCCAGAACAGGAGGCAUGAGCCCGGAACGCGCUUGCUUUUAGGAGACAGCCACUUUCUGUGUGGUACGCUGGAUUCAAGGAUGCCUGAUCGUACUGAGAAGCACUCCACAAUGCCAGACUCACCUGUGGAUGUGAAGACGCAAUCUAGGCUGACUCCU
rnacentral:lncRNA from 10 species